CCUACGGGUGGCAGCAGUGGGGGAUAUUGCACAAUGGGGGAAACCCUGAUGCAGCGACGCCGCGUGUGGGAAGAAGGUCCUCUGGAUUGUAAACCACUGUCCCCAGGGACGAAGAUGACGGUACCUGGGGAGGAAGCUCCGGCGAACUACGUGCCAGCAGCCGCGGUAAUACGUAGGGAGCGAGCGUUGUCCGGAAUUACUGGGUGUAAAGGGAGCGUAGGCGGGACUGCAAGUUGGGUGUCAAAUCUACCGGCUCAACCGGUAGCCGCACUCAAAACUGCAGUUCUGGAGUGAAGUAGAGGCAUGCGGAAGUCCUGGUGUAGCGGUGAAAUGCGUAGAUAUUAGGAGGAACACCAGUGGCGAAGGCGGCCUGCUGGGCUUUUACUGACGCUGAGGCUCGAAAGUGUGGGGAGCGAACAGGAUUAGAUACCCCUGUAGUC
rnacentral:rRNA from 1 species